rnacentral:lncRNA from 1 species
AGAGCCUGGCGCGGAGCCGGCGAGAUUUUGGUGGGGUCUCACCUGUUGCGUGACUCCCCCACAGUCCGGCCGCGGGAGUCCGACCCUGAAUGCCCAGGGAGUGUUGAGAGAAAUCUGGACGAGUUUCGGGUCCCGCUCCCUUGGGAGCACGUGGCCUACCAGCCUCUCGAUUGCAGGGUUGGGUGGUCGCGACACCGGGGUCGCCUUGAGGCCAGUCCGGCUGCCGAGGUCUGCGGGAGUCCACCUCCGGCCAGCUGGCAAUUUUGAAAGACUGCCUUACUUUCCCCAUCUCAGUGCCAGGGCAGGGGCCCUUGGAGUGACUUGGCUGGGGUCUGUGGCCCGAUCCCCCUGCCGUCCCUCAGGACCCGGGCUUUCUGCUGUACAGACUUCUCGUGGGCAGCCUCCCCUCGGAACUCGGGCAUCAUGGCCUCAGGGCCUCUUCCGCCUGCGGAGCCGCUGCUUCCUGCAUCAGUCACUCCCGCUGGGGGCGGGGCGGAGGAAGGGGUUGGAUGU